GAGUGGCGAACGGGUGAGUAACACGUGGGUAACCUGCCCAUCAGAAGGGGAUAACACUUGGAAACAGGUGCUAAUACCGUAUAACACUAUUUUCCGCAUGGAAGAAAGUUGAAAGGCGCUUUUGCGUCACUGAUGGAUGGACCCGCGGUGCAUUAGCUAGUUGGUGAGGUAACGGCUCACCAAGGCCACGAUGCAUAGCCGACCUGAGAGGGUGAUCGGCCACACUGGGACUGAGACACGGCCCAGACUCCUACGGGAGGCAGCAGUAGGGAAUCUUCGGCAAUGGACGAAAGUCUGACCGAGCAACGCCGCGUGAGUGAAGAAGGUUUUCGGAUCGUAAAACUCUGUUGUUAGAGAAGAACAAGGAUGAGAGUAGAACGUUCAUCCCUUGACGGUAUCUAACCAGAAAGCCACGGCUAACUACGUGCCAGCAGCCGCGGUAAUACGUAGGUGGCAAGCGUUGUCCGGAUUUAUUGGGCGUAAAGCGAGCGCAGGCGGUUUCUUAAGUCUGAUGUGAAGGCCCCCGGCUCAACCGGGGAGAGUCAUUGGAAACUGGGAGACUUGAGUGCAGAAGAGGAGAGUGGAAUUCCAUGUGUAGCGGUGAAAUGCGUAGAUAUAUGGAGGAACACCAGUGGCGAAGGCGGCUCUCUGGUCUGUAACUGACGCUGAGGCUCGAAAGCGUGGGGAGCGAACAGGAUUAGAUACCCUGGUAGUCCACGCCGUAAACGAUGAGUGCUAAGUGUUGGAGGGUUUCCGCCCUUCAGU
rnacentral:rRNA from 1 species